UGGGGAAUAUUGGACAAUGGGGGAAACCCUGAUCCAGCAAUGCCGCGUGUGUGAAGAAGGCCUUCGGGUUGUAAAGCACUUUCAGUAGGGAAGAAAUACUUAAGACUAACACUCUUGAGAGUUGACGUUACCUACAGAAGAAGCACUGGCUAACUCUGUGCCAGCAGCCGCGGUAAUACAGAGAGUGCAAGCGUUAAUCGGAAUUACUGGGCGUAAAGCGCACGUAGGUGGAUACUUUAGUCGAAUGUGAAAGCCCUGGGCUUAACCUGGGAAUUGCAUCCGAUACUGGGUAUCUAGAGUAUGGUAGAGGGAAGUGGAAUUUCCGGUGUAGCGGUGAAAUGCGUAGAUAUCGGAAAGAACACCAGUGGCGAAAGCGGCUUCCUGGACCAAUACUGACACUAAGGUGCGAAAGCGUGGGGAGCAAACAGGAUUAGAUACCCUCGUAGUCCCUGAGCGGGCUGGCAAGGCGCAU
rnacentral:rRNA from 1 species